rnacentral:rRNA from 1 species
UACGGAGAGUGCAAGCGUUAUCCGGAUUCACUGGGCUUAAAGGGUGCGUAGGUGGGCAGGUAAGUCAGUGGUGAAAUCUCCGGGCUUAACCCGGAAACUGCCGUUGAUACUAUUUGUCUUGAAUAUUGUGGAGGUAAGCGGAAUAUGUCAUGUAGCGGUGAAAUGCUUAGAUAUGACAUAGAACACCAAUUGCGAAGGCAGCUUACUACACAAUGAUUGACGCUGAGGCACGAAAGCGUGGGGAUCAAACAGG